AAGUAGAGUGGCGCACGGGUGAGUAACGCGUAGAUAAUCUGCCCUAAAGCCUGGGACAACCUCGCGAAAGUGAGGCUAAUACCGGAUAAUACUUGAAUUCUAGUGAGUGCAAGUUGAAAGGUUUACUACUUUAGGAUGAGUCUGCGUACCAUUAGCUAGUUGGUAGGGUAAAGGCCUACCAAGGCAACGAUGGUUAGCGGGUCUGAGAGGAUGAUCCGCCACACUGGAACUGAGACACGGUCCAGACUCC
rnacentral:rRNA from 1 species